AGAGCUAAGUCACGCACGAGUCUCAUUUUUUUUUUUUUCAGUUCUAAAGAAAAACUGCACUGAUGUCCUGUGGUACUGGGAAGACUGUGGCGGCAAGGCGGCUAUCACACUCCCCUGCCCAACCCCCACUGUGCUCAGGGCUGGUCAGUGAUGCCCAAGCUAAUUUUAGAUCUUGAAGACAAGCCACGGGGAAGAAAGGAUAAUGGGUAGAAAAUGAUCAGGUUCCGUGAGUUCACUUAAGAUGGCUGGAAAGAGGGCAACCAGGAAGGGUAAGAGAAGCCGGUCUUGUCACGUACAGCUAAGACAUGUAAGGCUGGGGCUGGAGCGGAAAGAUCCUGGGCGCUUCUGUACUAGUGAGAGUCCUGCCUUCCUCUGCACACAGACAAGUCCCUGGCUGCUGCAGGCUUCAUGGGCUAAGCUAAGGAAGGAGGCGAGCCCCAAACCACAAGAGCGUCGACAGCCCCACUUCGCUGAAGAAAAUCAUCAGAAACUGAAGAUGGCCGCUGUGGAUUGAGUUCUGUUCAAGGCUGAGACUGAGCUUGAGAGAGUGCCAGGAAGGAACAUCACCUCCCUUCUCCCAGUUUCAACGUUCCGCUCAGUUAGAACAGUGGUCAGAGGAGCAGACCACCCUGCUGCAGGGUCACCAGGCCCGGGCCCCCAGUCUCCCUGCGUCUUAAAGACCAGUCUGCAAUGGACCAGUGGGUGCUUUACUCCGUUUGGCCAAUGCAUCACCAGCUGAGGAACGAGACUCCACUAAGUUUCAACAAAGGCUGGAGGUGGGAGUGCACACCUGUCAUCUCAGCCCUUGGGGACAGACAGGAAGGUCAGGAGUUCGAGGCUAGCACGAGUUACAUAAUGAGAGUUUUUCUCAAAAGUAGAUGAAAUUUAAAAAAAAAAAAA